rnacentral:rRNA from 1 species
UAAGGAAUAUUGGGCAAUGGACGCAAGUCUGACCCAGCCAUGCCGCGUGGAGGAUGAAGGUCCUCUGGAUUGUAAACUUCUUUUAUAUGGGACGAAAAAGGGUCUUUCUAGAUCAACUGACGGUACCAUAUGAAUAAGCACCGGCUAACUCCGUGCCAGCAGCCGCGGUAAUACGGAGGGUGCAAGCGUUAUCCGGAUUCACUGGGUUUAAAGGGUGCGUAGGUGGGGUGGUAAGUCAGUGGUGAAAUCUCCAGGCUUAACUUGGAAACUGCCAUUGAUACUAUCAUUCUUGAAUACCGUGGAGAUGAGCGGAAUAUGUCAUGUAGCGGUGAAAUGCUUAGAUAUGACAUAGAACACCAAUUGCGAAGGCAGCUCGUUACACGAAUAUUGACACUGAGGCACGAAAGCGUGGGGAUCAAACAGG